rnacentral:rRNA from 1 species
GAGAGCUUGCUCUCUGGAUCAGUGGCGAACGGGUGAGUAACACGUGAGCAAUCUGCCCCUGACUCUGGGAUAAGCGUUGGAAACGACGUCUAAUACCGGAUACGAGCUGCGAAGGCAUCUUCAGCAGCUGGAAAGAACUUCGGUCAGGGAUGAGCUCGCGGCCUAUCAGCUAGUUGGUGAGGUAAAGGCUCACCAAGGCGUCGACGGGUAGCCGGCCUGAGAGGGUGACCGGCCACACUGGGACUGAGACACGGCCCAGACUCCUACGGGAGGCAGCAGUGGGGAAUAUUGCACAAUGGGCGCAAGCCUGAUGCAGCAACGCCGCGUGAGGGACGACGGCCUUCGGGUUGUAAACCUCUUUUAGCAGGGAAGAAGCGAAAGUGACGGUACCUGCAGAAAAAGCACCGGCUAACUACGUGCCAGCAGCCGCGGUAAUACGUAGGGUGCAAGCGUUAUCCGGAAUUAUUGGGCGUAAAGAGCUCGUAGGCGGUUUGUCGCGUCUGCUGUGAAAACUGGGGGCUCAACCCCCAGCCUGCAGUGGGUACGGGCAGACUAGAGUGCGGUAGGGGAGAUUGGAAUUCCUGGUGUAGCGGUGGAAUGCGCAGAUAUCAGGAGGAACACCGAUGGCGAA